rnacentral:rRNA from 1 species
UGGGGAAUAUUGGACAAUGGGCGAAAGCCUGAUCCAGCCAUGCCGCGUGUGUGAAGAAGGUCUUCGGAUUGUAAAGCACUUUAAGUUGGGAGGAAGGGCAGUUACCUAAUACGUGACUGUCUUGACGUUACCGACAGAAUAAGCACCGGCUAACUCUGUGCCAGCAGCCGCGGUAAUACAGAGGGUGCAAGCGUUAAUCGGAAUUACUGGGCGUAAAGCGCGCGUAGGUGGUUUGUUAAGUUGAAUGUGAAAUCCCCGGGCUCAACCUGGGAACUGCAUCCAAAACUGGCAAGCUAGAGUAUGGUAGAGGGUAGUGGAAUUUCCUGUGUAGCGGUGAAAUGCGUAGAUAUAGGAAGGAACACCAGUGGCGAAGGCGACUACCUGGACUGAUACUGACACUGAGGUGCGAAAGCGUGGGGAGCAAACAGGAUUAGGAUACCCUGGUAGUCCACGCCGUAAACGAUGUCAACUAGCCGUUGGGAGUCUUGAACUCUUAGU